CUUCGCUAGUGGAAAGAGAAUCCAAUUACAUGAGGCAGAUGAACACGAGACUGUUUACAUUUCUUUUCUAGGUGCUCCCUUUAGGUAGGAUUUGGGGGAGACUUGACAGAUAAAUUUCUGAUACAUACAGAGCUCUGUUAAAAUUGCAUUUAGAAUGAUCUUUUAUAUCAGGAAUCUCAAAUACUCAAACUCAUAGACCCUGAGAAUAGAAUGAUAGUUAUGAGGGCCUAGGGCAAAGGGAGACUGAGGAAGCAUUGGUCAAAGCACACACAGUUUCAGAUAUGACAGGGUCAAAUGCAAUACCUACCAGACCUGCAGAAGGAAGUAAAUCCUCUUUGUCACUCUUGAUAGAGUGAAAGAGAAAGAAGGGCAGACGAGAAGGGAGGUUGGUUCUCCCAUUCCUUCUUCCUCUGGAAAUUUUUGACAAAAUAGGGACUGACUGCAUCACCAUACAUGGUCCCAUUACCUGCUCUUCACCCCUUAAGACUGUGAUGUUAAGCAUUGUUCCUUCUCAGAGCCAUGCUGCUAAAAUGAGACAAAACCUGCUUCCUGGCCAUGCAGUGAAGGGCAUGCCCUCAGAGGGGCACCAUAGCCACU